GACUUGUGUACGACGAAGUUUAGUGGUCUGCAUUCAAAAGAAUGUUACGACUCGCGGCUUCGUUGUCGUAAAAUCUUCAACUGGAUCGUAACUGGACUUAAUUGCCUGGUUGCAGUCAUUCGGUUGAUCGUUUACUGUGAGAAAAUUAGAGUGUUCAAGGCAGGCAUUAUUGCAAUUGAAUAUGUUAGCAUGGAAUAAUAAGAUAAGGCUUUCGCGUUUAUUUUGUUGGUUUCUAGAUCGGAAGUAAUGAUUGAUAGGGACAGUUGGGGGUGCUAGUAUUCAGCGGCCAGAGGUGAAAUUCAUGGAUUCGCUGAAGACUAACUUAUGCGAAAGCAUU
rnacentral:rRNA from 1 species